UACAGAGACUGCAAGCGUUAUUCGGAUUCACUGGGCGUAAAGGGUGCGCAGGCGGCCAAGUGUGUUAGGCGUGAAAGCCCGGGGCUUAACCCCGGAAUUGCACCUAAAACUACAUGGCUAGAGCAUUGGAGAGGGUAGCAGAAUUCAUGGUGUAGCAGUGAAAUGCGUAGAUAUCAUGAGGAAUACCAGAGGCGAAGGCGGCAUCCUGGACCGGCAUUGACGCUGAGGCGCGAAAGCCAGGGGAGCAAACGGG
rnacentral:rRNA from 1 species